AACCCAGACCGCCAGCUAAGGUCCCAAAGUCAUGGUUAAGUGGGAAACGAUGUGGGAAGGCCCAGACAGCCAGGAUGUUGGCUUAGAAGCAGCCAUCAUUUAAAGAAAGCGUAAUAGCUCACUGGUCGAGUCGGCCUGCGCGGAAGAUGUAACGGGGCUAAACCAUGCACCGAAGCUGCGGCAGCGACGCUUAUGCGUUGUUGGGUAGGGGAGCGUUCUGUAAGCCUGUGAAGGUGUACUGUGAGGUAUGCUGGAGGUAUCAGAAGUGCGAAUGCUGACAUAAGUAACGAUAAAGCGGGUGAAAAGCCCGCUCGCCGGAAGACCAAGGGUUCCUGUCCAACGUUAAUCGGGGCAGGGUGAGUCGACCCCUAAGGCGAGGCCGAAAGGCGUAGUCGAUGGGAAACAGGUUAAUAUUCCUGUACUUGGUGUUACUGCGAAGGGGGGACGGAGAAGGCUAUGUUGGCCGGGCGACGGUUGUCCCGGUUUAAGCGUGUAGGCUGGUUUUCCAGGCAAAUCCGGAAAAUCAAGGCUGAGGCGUGAUGACGAGGCACUACGGUGCUGAAGCAACAAAUGCCCUGCUUCCAGGAAAAGCCUCUAAGCAUCAGGUAACAUCAAAUCGUACCCCAAACCGACACAGGUGGUCAGGUAGAGAAUACCAAGGCGCUUGAGAGAACUCGGGUGAAGGAACUAGGCAAAAUGGUGCCGUAACUUCGGGAGAAGGCACGCUGAUAUGUAGGUGAAGUCCCUCGCGGAUGGAGCUGAAAUCAGUCGAAGAUACCAGCUGGCUGCAACUGUUUAUUAAAAACACAGCACUGUGCAAACACGAAAGUGGACGUAUACGGUGUGACGCCUGCCCGGUGC
rnacentral:rRNA from 1 species